CCGAUAUGGCUCAGUUGGUAGAGCGGCGCAUUCGUAAUGCGUAGGUCAGGGGUUCGAGUCCCCUUAUCGG
rnacentral:tRNA from 1 species